ACCUCCUGCAAAGGCGUGCCUUUACUGCUCUGUGUGUGGGCACGUAAGAACUGGAGGCAAAUGAAUGGGGAUGGAGGUUGUUUUGCACAGGACUAGCUGCCGUUUUGUGCUUUUCCUGGGCCUUCAGUCCUACAUUU